rnacentral:rRNA from 1 species
GGGUUGUGAGGUUAAGCGACUAAGCGUACACGGUGGAUGCCCUGGCAGUCAGAGGCGAUGAAGGRCGUGCUAAUCUGCGAUAAGCGCCGGUAAGGUGAUAUGAACCGUUAUAACCGGCGAUWYCCGAAUGGGGAAACCCAGUGUGAYUCGUCACACUAUCAUUAACUGAAUCCAUAGGUUAAUGAGGCGAACCGGGGGAACUGAAACAUCUAAGUACCCCGAGGAAAAGAAAUCAACCGAGAUUCCCCCAGUAGCGGCGAGCGAACGGGGAGGAGCCCAGAGCCUGAAUCAGCAUGUGUGUUAGUGGAAGCGUCUGGAAAGGCGCGCGAUACAGGGUGACAGCCCCGUACACAAAAG